CAGCCGCCACGGGAACACGGAGGGGGCUAGCGUUGUUCGGAAUUACUGGGCGUAAAGCGCACGUAGGCGGCUUGGUAAGUUAGAGGUGAAAGCCCGGAGCUCAACUCCGGAAUUGCCUUUAAGACUGCCGAGCUAGUAGGUGAGAGAGGUAAGUGGAAUUCCGAGUGUAGAGGUGAAAUUCGUAGAUAUUCGGAAGAACACCAGUGGCGAAGGCGGCUUACUGGCUCAUUCUAGACGCUGAGGUGCGAAAGCGUGGGGAGCAAACAGGAUUAGAGACCCGCGUAGUCCCUGUCUCUUAUAC
rnacentral:rRNA from 1 species